CCUAAGUAAAGUUUUGAUUUGAGAUUUUUUUAGAUCUAAUUCUAAAUUAAAAUUUAUGUAAGAAUAUAAUUUUGAAUAAUAGGCAUUGAAGAAUCUCCUAAAGGUUAAUCGAUCUAUUCGCUCAGUGAUCUGUGAAAGAUAAGUAAUGAAUCAUCUUCUCGAAAUAUUUCAUAUUUAUUUUAAAAAUAAAUAAUAUUCUUUAAAAUUAUGCAUGAUUUAUAAAAUUAUGUUUGAACAAAAAGUGAUUUUGAAAUACUAUGGUUUAUUUUAUGUAUUUGUUUAGUGAAAAUUAUAAUAUGUUUUGAUAUAAAAAUAUUUUGAUACAGAUCGGAUUUAUGCUCUCAACCUAACUAUGUUUCAGUGGAUCCCACCAAUGGGGAUUAUACAUUAGUAAUCAGUGGGUCCUGCCAAUGGAGAUUAUACGUUGGUACUCAGUGGACCCUGCCAAUGGAGGUUGUGCGCUGGUAUUUAGUGGACUCUACCAGUGGGAGUUGUGCACUGAUAUUUAUGGAUCUCGUCAAUGGGGGUUA
rnacentral:lncRNA from 1 species